CUACUCUCCAGAGGGCAGUGGUGGAUUUCUGGCUGGCUUCAGAGGCAUUUGGUGCAGGGACAGAGUGUUCUGCUGCACCAAUUCAAAUUCAUAGGCAGACUGGGAGUUGACAGUUUCACUGUCUGUUCUCAAAUUAGCAUUCUCAUUUCUGAACGUGUUUUGUAAUCUUUAUCUGCUGACACUCCCGAGGAUUGGAACAUCAGGGGAAUGCUGACAGGAUAUGAAUUUUCUAGCUUCUAAGCCAGCCCUCAAGAUGAUUGCUCCAAAGAAGAAGACCAUGGAGAAACUGAGCAGAGUGUUUGACAGACUCUUGGAGACAAAAAGAAAAAACGAACAUUUCGGGCCUAUCCUAGGGAAAAUAACAGAUGUUUUAAAGACUUUAUUUGGAAUUCCCAAGGGUUUUCUUCAAAAGUUAGGAGAAGUAAACACCAGAGCUGAAAGUGAUCAAGUCACUACUGGUCUGAUUUGAUUCACUCAGUUUCCCUGUAGCUGCCAAACAGAGCAGGGGGCUUUGCUGGAGGAACAUAGUUGACAGACUUCUAAUUUCUUUGUACAUCAUAAUGUAGUUCAAAACCCAACCAAAAAUAAAUAACCAGGGGCACAUGGAAACCAGGUGACAGCAAAGGAAGCAGAAACCGAACCAGGUAUGAGUAGGUGACAUGUAACUCCUUGUGAGCAUUAACUGUGAUCACGGUUCACUGAACACACACUGCAUCUCAGCUGAAAAUUUGAAUAUGAUAAGAAUACAAAAUAUGGUAUAGAAUACAUUUGAGAAGUAAAAUUGUCUAAGUGGAAACUUACAAAUUCAAACAUAGGCUUUAAUGCAAGAACCACAGAUAAGAAAAAGUUAACUAGAAGAGAGAUUGUUGCCAACAGUGAGGAGAGGGUCUUUCUCAAGGAAACAGGAGCAGGUAAGUAACUUAUUUGUGUUUGGGCCUGAGGUGAUGUAACAUAGGGUUAGAGAAUCACACACACUGGGCCCCAGCACUGUAACACCGAACUGUAAUGGAGAAUUGUAACACAGCACUGUAACAUAGUAUUGUAAUGCAGCACUGUAACACAACAUUGUAACCCAGCACUGUAACGCAACACUGUAACAUACCACUGUGAUGGCUUCCGUUUUGCUGUUUGAUAUGGAUAACUGAUAUGACAAGCACACUUCCUUAAACUGCCUAGACUCCAGCAUUCUUGUGAGCUACCAAUUACAGGACCUGAAGAAAACACAUUUAAUGAACCGGCUGAGCUCCAAGUUCGAUCUGAUCCUAACUAGAUUCAUUCCACUCCUACACACCAAAGGGGCUUUGAGCCCUUGCCACAGGGCUCCUGAUGACGAGAAAGUGGAUUUUGGAUUUUGAGGGCUGGAAUUAAAUCUCAGCUGCAGAGUGUAUAAUUUCCUUAGGAAAAUCAAUCUUCUGGAAUUUAACUCAUACAGAACAGGCGACUUGGGGAAAUCAAUUAAAAGAUUGCAUUUGAACCCACAACGUGUGUCCUCUGGAUAAUGACUCUUCCAUUUUCUUUUCUUUGUGGGGCUGUGGAGUGUAUACCUUUUUUGCCUCAGAGAGA
rnacentral:sRNA from 1 species